rnacentral:rRNA from 1 species
GGAUGCGAUCAUACCAGCACUAAAGCACCGGAUCCCAUUAGAACUCCGAAGUUAAGCGUGCUUGGGUGAGAGUAGUACUAGGAUGGGUGACCUCCUGGGAAGUCCUCGUGUUGCAUUCC